GACGAACGCUGGCGGCGUGCCUAAUACAUGCAAGUCGAACGCAGUGGGGACGGGUGAGGAAAACGUGGGUAACCUCGCAUCAGAGGGGAUAACACUUGGAAACAGGUGCUAAACCGAUACUGGCGGAUGGACCCGCGGUGCAUUAGUUAGUUGGUGAGGUAACGGCCAACCAGGGCCACGAGGCAUAGCCGGCCUGCGAGGGUGAUCGGCCACACUGGGACUGAGACACGGCCCAGACGCCUACGGGAUGCAGCAGUGGGGAAUCUUCGGCAAUGGACGAAAGUCUGACCGAGCAACGCCGCGUGAGUGAAGAAGGUUUUCGGGUCGUAAAACUCUGUUGUUAGGGAAGCGGUAUCUAACCAGAAAGCCACGGCUAACUACGUGCCAGCAGCCGCGGUAAUUC
rnacentral:rRNA from 1 species